GGUGACACACAACCAUUACUAAGCAACAUAGACAGCUUGUCAGGAUCACAGGCAAAUGUGAGCCAGAUUGUCCAGUAUGAAUAUCUACUGAUGCAAUUAAUCAAGCUGGCAGACCUUCCUGGGAAAACAAGUGCCUACAUCGAGAAAAUGGCAUAACCUGAAGAUUGAAUAUUCUGUGACCAUCAGAGAAAGACUCUCCUUGCCAUCCACACUGCAACAAAACUUUGGAACCUUGUACGUUGGAUUCAUAACCAAACAACUGAGAAGGGUCCCUCCAUACUCUUGGAAUUGUACACCCAUUGGAACCCUUAAGGUAAAAUGAACCAAGAAAGUUUCUCCCCAGAGGAAGAUGGAAUACUUGAUGUGAACAGCUUUUCCCAAGAUCACGAAUCAAGACUUCUACUAUCAUGAGACUCUUAUCUUUGAAUAUUUUUUACUUGUUUAUGCUUCUAUGAAUAAUAGAAAUGGAAAGGAGGUCUAUUAUGUGCACUUAGAGGGUAUAUUUUUAUUUGUGAAGGAUUUUGCACCCAGCCUUAUACAUGAAUAACCUUAUACUUUGAUAGAUAAAAGAUGAAGGCCCCAUGUAGGUGAGAAACUUUAGUGGUACAUACAUUGCCUCAUAAUCAGUCAAAACUCCUCUUAACCCACAUCAUGGGUUAAAGAGAACAUUGCAAGAAGCCCUUUAUUCUUCUAGAAGGACACCAUUUAUUAGGUCCUUUUUCCAUGGUUUAAAAUAAAAGAGGCAAUAAUUAGAAAUGCAUCCCUCAUAAGAGGCUCUAUAGCAGAUUCUACUAUAAAGGCUAUCAUUACACAACAGACUUUAUCUUGUGAAAGUUAUGCUAAUAAUAGAGUUGGCUAAAAAGAAAAAUACUUGUGCAGUUGUUGGCACUUGUGGCUUAUGGAGAAAUAACAUCAAAUGUAGAUUAUAAAAAUUCAGUUGUAGGGGAUUAAUGAAAAGACCACUUAGUCAAGCAAGUAGACUCUUCAUCCAGCUCCUUCUUUAAUCUAUUUAAUUUUAGGUGGUUUGCUUUAUGGGGACCCUGGCUAAGGAGCAUACCCCAAACUCUUGGUAUUAUUAUCUUCCCAAUAGUCUAAUAAUAGUCUCCCUGAUGUGCUAUAUUCUCUUAAAGAUUUUAAAUGUUUGCAUGCAGCCAUCAGUAGAAUGUCAAAUGGUCUCUCUUCAACUGGAAUGAUAAGAGCUGAAAGGAAUAUGUGCCCAUAAGGGCACCAUAACCUAUGAAUGAUGUGCUGAGACUGGAAACCCAAAAUAAUGGCAACAGAGAGUGGUGCUAAGGCCCUAAAUUUUGGUCACACUCUC
rnacentral:lncRNA from 10 species